GGGAAAGAAAUGCAGCCUGGCAGUUGUUGACUCUCUCUGUUCAGUGUGUCGAGGAAGAUGAUUAUACUUUCAAGACAGACCCGAAAAGAAGAUACCAGGACCUGAAGAUACACAUCGUCCUCUUUUUAAACAAGAGGAAGGGACUCCCUUCAGUGUUACUUAUGGUCCUCAGAUACACAAGAAAAACCAUCCGAGAAUUGAUGAAGAAAGAAGUUGUUCAGACGGCAUAUCUGCUCCUGCAAAAACAAAAAAGGGGAUAUGUAGUGGGAAUUCCUAAUAAUGUACUUUCACAGCCUUGAGAAAUUCCACAGAAAUAACACCUGGAAAAACAGCAUAUAUUAAGAAACUAUGUUAAUGAUUAUCUUUCAUGUUUUUCUUAAGAAUAAUUGCCUUGUUACAAACCCCAAGGCCAGACCCAGAAGGGAGUAUGACUGGAUCAUGAAGGCAUGGACUUUGGAACACCGGGUCGGCGUUGGGCAUGAACACUGCCUACACACUUGCUGAUUGUUCCCGAGACAACCCCAGAAGAGAACAGCCAGGGGUAAAACAAGGAGAUCUGAGCUAUGUCAAUGUAGUCCCUGACAUUUAGUAGUAUGUGAUUAACACAACAGGUGUGUUGAGAAAGAUAAGGCCAAAGAAACUCUUGUAGUCUGCAAUUAGGAAUAAAAGCUGGACUCAGAGUGGACUCUGCACCUCAGUCCAGUAGAGGCUGCAGGUCCCCUGACCCA